UGAGUGUGUGUAUGUGUGCUUGUGCAUGUGUGUGCACGUGUGUGCAUGCACAUGGCA
rnacentral:miRNA from 10 species